rnacentral:rRNA from 1 species
GACGAACGCUGGCGGCGUGCUUAACACAUGCAGGUCGAACGGAAAGGCCCUGCUUUUGUGGGGUGCUCGAGUGGCGAACGGGUGAGUAACACGUGAGUAACCUGCCCCUGACUUUGGGAUAACUUCAGGAAACUGGGGCUAAUACCGGAUAGGAGCUCCUGCUGCAUGGUGGGGGUUGGAAAGUUUCGGCGGUUGGGGAUGGACUCGCGGCUUAUCAGCUUGUUGGUGGGGUAGUGGCUUACCAAGGCUUUGACGGGUAGCCGGCCUGAGAGGGUGACCGGCCACAUUGGGACUGAGAUACGGCCCAGACUCCUACGGGAGGCAGCAGUGGGGAAUAUUGCACAAUGGGCGGAAGCCUGAUGCAGCAACGCCGCGUGCGGGAUGACGGCCUUCGGGUUGUAAACCGCUUUCGCCUGUGACGAAGCGUGAGUGACGGUAAUGGGUAAAGAAGCACCGGCUAACUACGU